CGCUACCAUGCAGUCGACGGUGAGCAGGAGCUUGCUCUUGUGGAUCAGUGGCGAACGGGUGAGUAACACGUGAGCAACCUGCCCCUGACUCUGGGAUAAGCGCUGGAAACGGCGUCUAAUACUGGAUAUGUGACGUGACCGCAUGGUCUGCGUUUGGAAAGAUUUUUCGGUUGGGGAUGGGCUCGCGGCCUAUCAGCUUGUUGGUGAGGUAAUGGCUCACCAAGGCGUCGACGGGUAGCCGGCCUGAGAGGGUGACCGGCCACACUGGGACUGAGACACGGCCCAGACUCCUACGGGAGGCAGCAGUGGGGAAUAUUGCACAAUGGGCGAAAGCCUGAUGCAGCAACGCCGCGUGAGGGAUGACGGCCUUCGGGUUGUAAACCUCUUUUAGCAGGGAAGAAGCGAAAGUGACGGUACCUGCAGAAAAAGCGCCGGCUAACUACGUGCCAGCAGCCGCGGUAAUACGUAGGGCGCAAGCGUUAUCCGGAAUUAUUGGGCGUAAAGAGCUCGUAGGCGGUUUGUCGCGUCUGCUGUGAAAUCCCGAGGCUCAACCUCGGGCCUGCAGUGGGUACGGGCAGACUAGAGUGCGGUAGGGGAGAUUGGAAUUCCUGGUGUAGCGGUGGAAUGCGCAGAUAUCAGGAGGAACACCGAUGGCGAAGGCAGAUCUCUGGGCCGUAACUGACGCUGAGGAGCGAAAGGGUGGGGAGCAAACAGGCUUAGAUACCCUGGUAGUCCACCCCGUAAACGUUGGGAACUAGUUGUGGGGUCCAUUCCACGGAUUCCGUGACGCAGCUAACGCAUUAAGUUCCCCGCCUGGGGAGUACGGCCGCAAGGCUAAAACUCAAAGGAAUUGACGGGGACCCGCACAAGCGGCGGAGCAUGCGGAUUAAUUCGAUGCAACGCGAAGAACCUUACCAAGGCUUGACAUAUACGAGAACGGGCCAGAAUGGUCAACUCUUUGGACACUCGUAAACA
rnacentral:rRNA from 1 species